CCUACGGGAGGCUGCAGUGGGGAAUAUUGGACAAUGGGGGGAACUCUGAUCCAGCCAUGCCGCGUGUGUGAAGAAGGCCCUCGGGUUGUAAAGCACUUUCAGUGAGGAAGAACGCCUGGUGGUUAAUACCCAUCAGGAAAGACAUCACUCACAGAAGAAGCACCGGCUAACUCCGUGCCAGCAGCCGCGGUAAUACGGAGGGUGCGAGCGUUAAUCGGAAUUACUGGGCGUAAAGCGCGCGUAGGUGGCUUGAUAAGCCGGUUGUGAAAGCCCCGGGCUCAACCUGGGAACGGCAUCCGGAACUGUCAAGCUAGAGUGCAGGAGAGGAAGGUAGAAUUCCCGGUGUAGCGGUGAAAUGCGUAGAGAUCGGGAGGAAUACCAGUGGCGAAGGCGGCCUUCUGGACUGACACUGACACUGAGGUGCGAAAGCGUGGGUAGCAAACAGGAUUAGAUACCCUAGUAGUC
rnacentral:rRNA from 1 species